rnacentral:tRNA from 1 species
CGGGGUGUAGCUCAGCCUGGCUAGAGCGCCUGCUUUGGGAGCAGGAAGUCGCAUGUUCGAAUCAUGUCACCCCGA